GCGUAUCGGUUAGAUCGGGAUACUCAUCAAAUAAACUGAAAACAGAGUAAUCUCCGUAUGUCAAUGGCGGGCCACGCCGUCAGAGCAAUCUGAGGUAGCAGACAAACUUGCCGGUGGAUUACAGAGGCUGCGGGAUCUCAAAUCUUAUUCACAUAGGAGUUUUCAUCACAAUCACGAUACGCCCGUU
rnacentral:sRNA from 1 species